GUAGUCAUAUGCUUGUCUCAAAGAUUAAGCCAUGCAUGUCUAAGUAUAAGCACUUUAUACUGUGAAACUGCGAAUGGCUCAUUAAAUCAGUUAUCGUUUAUUUGAUAGUACCUUACUACAUGGAUACCUGUGGUAAUUCUAGAGCUAAUACAUGCUAAAAACCUCGACUUCGGAAGGGGUGUAUUUAUUAGAUAAAAAACCAAUGCCCUUCGGGGCUCCUUGGUGAUUCAUAAUAACUUAACGAAUCGCAUGGCCUUGCGCCGGCGAUGGUUCAUUCAAAUUUCUGCCAUAUCAACUUUCGAUGGUAGGAUAGUGGCCUACCAUGGUGGCAACGGGUAACGGGGAAU
rnacentral:rRNA from 1 species